UACGGAGGGGGCUAGCGUUGUUCGGAAUGACUGGGCGUAAAGGGCGCGUAGGCGGCGAUUCAAGUCAGAUGUGAAAGGCCUGGGCUCAACCCGGGAACUGCAUUUGAUACUGGAUUGCUUGAGUCCGGGAGAGGAUGGCGGAAUUCCCAGUGUAGAGGUGAAAUUCGUAGAUAUUGGGAAGAACACCGGUGGCGAAGGCGGCCAUCUGGACCGGUACUGACGCUGAGGCGCGAAAGCGUGGGGAGCAAACAGG
rnacentral:rRNA from 1 species